AUCGUUCGAAAGGAAUAUUUAGUUUCCCUACAUUCUAGCAAGUGUAAUUUUUUAGUUUUAUGGCCAUUUUUGGUAAAUCAAUUGACUUUUAAAACGUUUUUCUCAAAUGUAUCAUAUCAGGAUUACGAUUCCGGGGCUAUGUAUAGUGCGAUUUGUACUACAGUGAUAUUUUUAGAUAACACAACAUUGUUUUUUGCGGCUAUGUUAGUUUAUAUAUAUAAUUAGGCUUUGCUGUAAGCAUUUGCGUAAUUGACAUUUAAUAUUUUCUUUAUAGAUUUGCUCUUUCUUCAGUCCCUUCAACUAUCCCGCCUUGCUAUGUGUCAAUUGAAUCCUCUGCGAUACUGUUUAUCCCCAGUUGCCACUGCCUUCGCUGGCGUAACAAGGACUUACCAGCUUGCGUAUUGUCAUACUGUUUUAGAACGCAACGCUAGGCGUAAGCUAGCCUCAGUUUACGGUCAUGACAAAUCAAUGCCUGAGGAGACAGUCGAAACUUUUUUUCCUUUCGAUCCUUAUUUGCUAAAAAUAUCAAACCAGUAUAUUGAAGACAACUAUAUGGCUUACCAGAGUAAUGAAACAGAAGACAAUAUGGAUAGGUCUGCCGAAAACCUCCUUUCUCGAAAACGUGGAGACUCAGAAUUGGGCGAAGAAGACGAUUUUAUUACAACGGUUAAACGCCAGAAGCAUUUGGAAAUGUCUAAAACCGAAGAGCUUGACAAACAAUUUCAUUGCGGGACUUAAAUCCUAGGUCAUAUUUUAAAGUGUCCAGCUUUUAGUAAUUAAAAAUAUAUUUUCAUUUUACGUAUCAUUUCAACUAGGAAUAGUUUUUACCUGCGUCAGAAUUUAAAAAAACAUUU